rnacentral:rRNA from 1 species
CGUGUAGGCGGUUAGGUAAGUGGAAUGUGAAAUGCCCCGGCUCACCCGGGGACCGGCAUCCCAAACUGCCUGGCUUGAGUAUGGGAGAGGAUGGAGGAAUUCCUGGUGUAGCGGUGAAAUGCGUAGAUAUCAGGAGGAACACCGGUGGCGAAGGCGUCCAUCUGGCCCAAUACUGACGCUGAGGCGCGAAAGCUAGGGGGAGCAAACGG